UACCGAGUGCGGGCCCUCUGGGUCCAACCUCCCAUCCGUGUCUAUCUGUACCCUGUUGCUUCGGCGUGGCCACGGCCCGCCGAAGACUAACAUUUGAACACUGUCUGAAGUUUGCAGUCUGAGUUUUUAGUUAAACAAUAAUUAAAACUUUCAACAACGGAUCUCUUGGUUCCGGCAUCGAUGAAGAACGCAGCGAAAUGCGAUAAUUAAUGUGAAUUGCAGAAUUCAGUGAAUCAUCGAGUCUUUGAACGCACAUUGCGCCCCCUGGUAUUCCGGGGGGCAUGCCUGUCCGAGCGUCAUUGCUGCCCUCAAGCACGGCUUGUGUGUUGGGCUUCCGCCCCUGGUAACGGGGACGGGCCCAAAAGGCAGUGGCGGCACCAUGUCUGGUCCUCGAGCGUAUGGGGCUUUGUCACCCGCUCCCGUAGGUCCAGCUGGCAGCUAGCCUCGCAACCAAUCUUU
rnacentral:misc_RNA from 1 species